CAAAGGCUUGGUCCUGACUUUACUAUCAACUUUAGCUAAACUUACACAUGCAAGUAUCCGCACCCCUGUGAGAAUGCCCUACAGUUCCCUGCCCGGGAACAAGGAGCCGGUAUCAGGCACACGAUUGUUAGCCCACGACACCUUGCUUAGCCACACCCCCAAGGGAAAUCAGCAGUGAUAGACAUUAAGCCAUAAGUGAAAACUUGACUUAGUUAAAGCUAAGAGGGCCGGUAAAACUCGUGCCAGCCACCGCGGUUAUACGAGAGGCCCAAGCUGAUAGACCCCGGCGUAAAGAGUGGUUAAGGUGAAUAUAAAACUAAGGCCGAACUCUCUCAUGGCUGUUAUACGCACCCGAGAGUAAGAAGAUCAACUACGAAAGUGGCUUUACAACCCCUGAACCCACGAAAGCUAAGGAACAAACUGGGAUUAGAUACCCCACUAUGCCUAGCCCUAAACAUCGAUAGCACAACACCCCUGCUAUCCGCCCGGGAACUACGAGCACCAGCUUGAAACCCAAAGGACUUGGCGGUGCUUUAGAUCCACCUAGAGGAGCCUGUUCUAGAACCGAUAACCCCCGUUCAACCUCACCCCCUCUUGUUUACCCCGCCUAUAUACCGCCGUCGUCAGCUUACCCUGUGAAGGUAAAAUAGUAAGCAUAAUUGGCAUAGCCCAAAACGUCAGGUCGAGGUGUAGCGCAUGUGGGGGGAAGAAAUGGGCUACAUUCCCUAAUGUAGUGAAUACGAACGAUGCAUUGAAAGAUGUGUCUGAAGGAGGAUUUAGCAGUAAGUGGGAAAUAGAGUGUCCUACUGAAACUGGCCCUGAAGCGCGCACACACCGCCCGUCACUCUCCCCAAACCCAGAGCCUUGAAUAAAUAAAACCUAAUCAUAAAAAAGGGGAGGCAAGUCGUAACAUGGUAAGUGUACCGGAAGGUGUACUUGGAAAAAU
rnacentral:ncRNA from 1 species